rnacentral:rRNA from 1 species
GACGAACGCUGGCGGCGGGCUUAACACAUGCAAGUCGAACGGAAGGGCCCUGCUUGCGCGGGGAGCUCGCGUGGCGCACGGGUGUGUAGCACAUGAGUAUCCUGGGCAGGGGGUGGGGAUAACUGCAGGAGAGUGGGGAUACUACAUACGAGCAGAGGGUGAAGGUGGGGGGUGGUUGGACAGUUUCGGCGGUUGUGGAUGGACGCUCGGCUUGUCAGCUGGUGGGGGGGGUAGUGGCUAAGCAGGCCUUUGACAGGUGGCCCGCCUUAGAGGUUGACCGGCCACAUUGCGACUGCGAUACGGCCCAGACUCCUACGGGAGGCAGCAGUGGGGAAUCUUGCCCAAUGGGCGGAAGCCUGAUGCAGCAACGCCGCGUUCGGGAUGACGGCCUUCUGGUUGUAAACCGCUUUCGCCUGUGACGAAGCGUGAGUGACGGUAAUGGGUAAAGAAGCACCGGCUAACUACGUG